CAGCCGCCACGGGAAAACGUAGGGUGCAAGCGUUAAUCGGAAUUACUGGGCGUAAAGCGUGCGCAGGCGGUUUGUUAAGACAGAUGUGAAAUCCCCGGGCUCAACCUGGGAACUGCAUUUGUGACUGGCAAGCUAGAGUAUGGCAGAGGGGGGUGGAAUUCCGCGUGUAGCAGUGAAAUGCGUAGAUAUGCGGAGGAACACCGAUGGCGAAAGCGGCUCACUGGACAAUUACUGACGCUGAUGCACGAAAGCUAGGGGAGCAAACAGGAUUAGAUACCCCAGUAGUCCCUGUCUCUUAUAC
rnacentral:rRNA from 1 species